rnacentral:rRNA from 1 species
UGGUAGUGUAUUGGACAACCAUGGCAGUCACGGGUAACGGAGAAUUAGGGUUCGAUUCCGGAGAGGGAGCCUGAGAAACGGCUACCACAUCUACGGAAGGCAGCAGGCGCGUAAAUUACCCAAUCCUAAAUCAGGGAGGUAGUGACAAGAUAUAACAACGCGAUUAAAUGUCGCGAUUGUAGUGAGGGUAUUCUAAAAAUAGCUUCGAGUACGAUUGGAGGGCAAGUCUGGUGCCAGCAGCCGCGGUAAUUCCAGCUCCAAUAGCGUAUAUUAAAGUUGUUGCAGUUAAAAAGCUCGUAGUUGGACUUCAAGAACAGCAGGUGGGAUAACCAUUUGCUUUCUACCAGUCCUUGACUGUUACUGUGAGAAAAUUAGAGUGUUUCAAGCAGGCUUUUGCAGGAAUACAUUAGCAUGGAAUAACGAAUGUGUCUACAAUUUGGUUGAUUGUAGGUUACGAUAAAUAGGGACAGUUGGGGGCAUUAGUAUUUAAUUGUCAGAGGUGAAAUUCUUGGAUUUGUUAAAGACUAACGUAUGCGAAAGCAUUUGCCAAGGAUGUUUUCAUUAAUCAAGAACGAAAGAUAGGGGAUCAAAGACAAUCAGAUCCCCUAUUGGUAGUCCAAUACACUACCAAUAGGGGAUCAAAGACGAUCAGA